UAAAGUGGUAUAAAGAGUUAAGUUUUACCUUGGGGUGGUAGAGGCCGCUGGUUCGAAUCCAGUCACUCAGACCA
rnacentral:tRNA from 1 species